AGUAGAGUGGCGCACGGGUGAGUAACACGUAGGUAAUCUACCUUCGGGUGGGGAAUAACAACCGGAAACGGUUGCUAAUACCGCAUAAUGCAGCGGCACCUAAUGGUGACAGUUGUUAAAGCGGGGGAUCGCAAGACCUCGCGCCUGAAGAGGAGCCUGCGGCGGAUUAGCUAGUUGGUAGGGUAACGGCCUACCAAGGCUACGAUCCGUAGCCGGCCUGAGAGGGCGGUCGGCCACACUGACACUGACAUACGGGUCAGACUCCUACGGGAGGCAGCAGUCGGGAAUUUUGGGCAAUGGGCGAAAGCCUGACCCAGCAACGCCGCGUGAAGGAUGAAAUCCUUCGGGAUGUAAACUUCGCAAGAACGGGGAGAAUAAGCCGGUGUUAACAUCACCGGCGAUGACGGUACCGUUUGUAAGCUCCGGCUAACUCCGUGCCAGCAGCCGCGGUAAUACGGGGGGAGCAAGCGUUGUUCGGAUUUACUGGGCGUAAAGGGCGCGUAGGCGGCCACCGCAAGUCAAUUGUGAAAUCUCCGGGCUUAACUCGGAAAGGUCAACUGAUACUGCGGGGCUAGAGUGCGGAAGGGGCAACUGGAAUUCUCGGUGUAGCGGUGAAAUGCGUAGAUAUCGAGAGGAACACCUGCGCCGAAGGCGGGUUGCUGGGCCGACACUGACGCUGAGGCGCGAAAGCUAGGGGAGCGAACGGGAUUAGAUACCCCGGUAGUCCUAGCCUUAAACGAUGAAUGCUUGGUGUCUGGGGUUAUAAAGUCCCCGGGUGCCGUCGCUAACGCUUUAAGCAUUCCGCCUGGGGAGUACGGUCGCAAGACUGAAACUCAAAGGAAUUGACGGGGACCCGCACAAGCGGUGGAGCAUG
rnacentral:rRNA from 1 species